rnacentral:rRNA from 1 species
AUAACGUCGCAAGACCAAAGAGGGGGACCUUCGGGCCUCUUGCCACCGGAUGUGCCCAGAUGGGAUUAGCUUGUUGGUGAGGUAACGGCUCACCAAGGCGACGAUCCCUAGCUGGUCUGAGAGGAUGACCAGCCACACUGGAACUGAGACACGGUCCAGACUCCUACGGAAGGCAGCAG